UCCACUCUAAAGAAACUUGGUUACUCGGAAAAACACAGCAAAACAGACAGGGGCAUCAGUGCCCAAACCUUGAUACAAGAGCAAGUUGCCAUCCCCAGGCUGCUUUUCUCUACGUUGCUUCUUCAUCAUGCUGGGGGUAACUUGUCGCACACACUACCAUUGCUGUUUUACAGCAUUCAGGUUAUCCCAGACACAGUGUUCCUGGGAUAGGAAACAUGAAAUGGGACUCCAUAAUGAGAGCACAUGGUAGGACUGGAUCCCUACCACGAGAAGGAGAUAUGACUUGAUCUUGCCUGAAGGAACAGAAAGAUUUCAGAUUCAGUGUACACUGGGAAUACGGAAACUGAGAGACUUGUUGCCCAAUGAAGUAAAUGGCAACAUCCAUUUAUGUCAAAUGGAGACUGAUGACAAAGGCAACAGGGAAGUCUCAUUCUUUAUCUUUUCCAUCCAUGGAUCUUGUUGGCAAAGGCCUUUACCCUCUAUUGUGGUACUUAAUUACUAAAUAAAUCUCUGGUUUCCAAUUACUCAGCACAUUAAGAUUCCAUAUAUGCUUUAUACAGUAUUUAAAAUACAGAAGGCUAACUUUUUCCCCUGUUUUUAACCUGAUCAAACUUCUUAUCUGGAAGAUGAUUCUUACCUUACAGGUUUCAAUGCAGCUGAAAGACAAAUAGAUGUAGUUGUCUAGAUACAAAUUACCUGCCCUCUAACCUAACUUACUUUGAACAUCCUUGGCUUUAAUGAUUACAGAAGCAUUUGUGCUGAUUGUAUGGUUUUACUCUCAUACACAGAGUGGACAUGAAAGUAGUAAAGAAUCUACUUUCUAGACCAAACGGUUUUGUCUGGUGGCAUUCAACACAGAAUAUUACCUUGGUUUGAAUGGAGUUCAGAGCAUCAACAACUUUCUGUAUUUCAGGUUUGGCAUUCCCUACCUGUAACACAAACAGCAUGAAAAGAACUUAAUGGAGCAGUUUUGUGACACCUUAGUUUUCUGUUAGAAUUCUCAAGGACACAUUUUGUAGCACAUUUUCAUAGCACCAGUUCAUUACAUAACAGGAAUAUUAAACAGAACUGACUGCAACUGUCUCUCUAAAAAUCAAACCAGUUGACAGCACAAAUAGGUCAGCUGAGGACACUGGUCAGAACAAAACUGUUAUUUCAAUUUACAGCAUAUGGAUUUAUUUUUGGAUUUGAGCUGCUAUUUCUUCAUAGAAGCCACCCUCCUAAUAGAAGACCAGAACAGAGUACACACAGUUGGAAUACAAUCAUCUUUUUCAAGAGCUGUGAAGACAAUUUGGCUGAUAUGAAAUGCUCUGGACAUUUAACAGUAGCAGGGGAAUUAAAAUAGUUGUUAAUUAGGCUGGUCUUACUAUAGAUUCAUAUAUAUAUAUGACUUGGUCAGUAAUGCAGAUCAUUUCACUGUCCAAGUCACAGCAGUGCCACUAUGAUAGAGGCAAGCGUGCUGCUGUAGGGUCAUCACAGUGACAUAUGACAGCCAUACUCUACUAUGAGUGUACAGUUUUUGUAUGUACAGAAAAUCAAGAACCUGGAACAUUUGUUCUGGGUUUAUGGGAUAAAAAAUAACACUGCUUCAUCCUGUUUUGGGCUCCUUGCACAUAGUGGAACACAGUGAACAUACUAUACUAACGCAAAUAAUAUAAAGAAGUUCAACUAACCUUCAUGAAGAUGCCUACCACAGCCAAACCAUCAGGAUGCUUCACAGCUUCAGCAAAUUUGCCAUAUUUUACAUUCCAGUGAACAAUAUGAAGCUAGGAACAAGAAAACAUGGAGGACUGUGAAAAUUAUAUUCCAUCCAUAAUAUUUUACAAAUGAGGAUGCAGGGAAGUAAUUUAUUAAACAUUAAGAGCAGAUGGCGUUUUACUGCUGAGAUUUAAAACUUUUGUGUACAGUUAAGAAUUUGUUACAUUAUUCAUUAACUCUGAAGUUUCAUUUAUGCAAAGAGAUUUCUGUCAUGCAUUUUAUUUUGCUUCUGACUCUUGGUCCCAGAUGAAUUUUAGAUGCAAACUGGGCUGCAUCUUCCUGCUUUCAGUCUGGUAAAACUCCUCUUAUUUUUACAAUGAGUUUUGCUUACACAAAGUCCGCAGGAUUUUGACACAGUAUUUCUAAUAUAGCCAGGUAUUCACGAGUUUUUAAUCAACACAAAUACAUGGUCCUACAGUGUAACAACAGAGAAGACAUUAAAUACAGUUCUGACCUCCACUCUAAACAAAAACAGAAAACAACAACAAAAAUCCAGAAAAAAAAAAAAACACACCAAUGAAGCCUUUUCAGGGAAAGCCUUUGAAAAAGACAUCACAAGAGUAUCGAGGCCACUUCAGCGAGGAUGCUCCUUUAUUUUUUAUUUCAAUGUUAUUUAGUUCAUAUGGCUGAUUCCCAAUAUCUGCAACUCACGCUGAACAAGUAAUUAUGGUUUUGUCAACAGAUGUGAGGCAAUGGCAGGAUUUUUUCUGGAUGUGCCUAAAGUAAAUCCUAUCUCACGAAAAAGCAAAGCUGAUAAAUUUGUGGGCCCAUUCAAACUGCAGCCACAUUCAGUCAAUGCCUGCAUUAAUGGAAGGUUUAAAAAGGUAUUUCACAGCAGUCAUUCGUUUCUAAUCUCUGUAUUACCUUUGGAGACCUUACUGCUCUCUUCAAAUACCUGAAAGGUGACUGCAAUGAGAGCAGGGUUGGGUUAACCUUUUCUCACUGGUGACAGGUGGGUGACAGGAUUAGGGGAAAUGGCCUCAAGUUGUACCAGGGUAAGUUUAGGUUGGAUAUCAGGAAAAACUUCUUUAAAGAAAUGGUAGUUAAGCACUGGAAUAGGCUCCCCAGGGAGGUGGUUGAGUCACCAUCCCUGGACAUGUUUAAAAAUCGUUUGGACGUGGUUCUCAGGGACAUGAUUCAGCAGAGGGUUGUUAGUUAGGGUAGUAUGGUAAGGUUGUGGUUGGACUAGAUGAUCUUUAAGGUCUUUUCCAACCUGAGCAAGUCUAUGAUUCUAUGAUUUGCAAAGGGCUGAUCCUAAUGUGGCACUGCACCAAAAUCUUCUAUGGUAAUCCCCACAGUCUCUUGCCACUUGAAGGUUUGUAGAGCUAUUGCUAUCACAAUGGAAGGUGGAAAAAAAAAAAAAAAAUCAAAGUACUCAUUAGACACACAAGACUGGAAAGGCAAAGCAUAUCCUACCUCAGCAUCAUACUUCACGCCAUCCACAGUGUGCUCAGAGCCCUGGCCCUCACAGGAGCCCCAGUGAAUGUGAAACUGCACCAACCUGUAGAUUCCAUCCAGUGCUCCUCCUUGCAGCACUGCAAAGCAAAGAGCUUCCAUUAGCACCUGCCAAAACAUUUGCUAUCAAGUCUCACUUCAGACUGGAAUAGCCACUCAAGUCUCCCAAGUGAAUUAAUUUAUUGCUCUGCAUGCUGUCGUGCUACUCCAGACUGUCUUCAAUGGUACACUGCUGCAAAAAGCCCAAGUCAGUAUUGAACAUAUAAAACCAUAAGUGAAUUUACAGUGAAUGUCAUCAGCAAUUAAGCAUGCUAUUAUUACAGGUGACGAGGGAAGAGUUAAGGAUGUAACUUUUCUGUCACCAAGUAAAUAAAGUUCAAAAAAAAAAGACUAGGCCUGCAUAAGGUUAUUCUGAGAAAGUACACCUGAAGACCAAAUCAUAUUUUACUUAGUAUCGUACUCUAUCUCCUCAUUUGGGGCAGUUUAUCCAUUAAGGCAAAUCCUGUGGUGAAUUUGAUCAAGUAAAACACUUUUGACUCCAGAUUAAACACAAAUAUUUGGCUGUGGACAGAUGCUAGCUGGGCACAGCACAAGGCAUUGCAAAGAUCCAGCUCUGCUUAUCCCAGCUUUUUCUCUCCAGUAAUGAGCAUAAGAAAAUGGUGGUGAGAACAGCAAUGCUGCAGAAGCCCUUUUUUUUUUUUUUUUUUU